UGCUGCAGCCAAAUCACCUUGCAGCCCAAAACAGUUUACUCACUGAAGUUAAGCAGGGCUGCGCCUGGUCAGUACCUGGAUGGGAGACCACAUGGGAAAACUAGGUUGCUGUUGGAA
rnacentral:rRNA from 1 species